AUCUAAUUCAACUGAAAGAUUCCCGAAGGGAGACCCUUACUCAACUCUUGGGAAAUCGCAGACCCCAGACACAGAGAGACCA
rnacentral:pre_miRNA from 14 species